rnacentral:lncRNA from 1 species
GGGUGGUGUGGUUCAGGCGUCCUGGGACGGGGACCAGGCACAUCGGACAGAGCUGGGUGGAGCUCCCACCCGAACGAUGUCCUGGGCGACCCUCGCCUUUCCCAUCAGCAGGACUUGUCGGCUUCUUUUCCAAGAGAGAAACUGAAGUUCAGAGAAGCCAGGGGCCAAAUAAGAACCAGAAGAGGACUGAGGGUCCUGCCGGGCUGACUGUCCAGGAACGAGAGACAUCAAGGGGUGAGAUGCAGGGCUGCUUCUGACUGUCCACAGCAGCUGACUAUGCACACCUGAGGCACCACACGACCUGACUGGCCUGGAACUCACUGCGUAGAUCGGGCUGGCCUUAAACUCACUGAGAUUUGUCUUUCUCCUGC